CAGUCGCCGCGGGAAUACGAAGGGGGCUAGCGUUGUUCGGAUUUACUGGGCGUAAAGCGCACGUAGGCGGACUUUUAAGUCAGGGGUGAAAUCCCGGGGCUCAACCCCGGAACUGCCUUUGAUACUGGAAGUCUUGAGUAUGGUAGAGGUGAGUGGAAUUCCGAGUGUAGAGGUGAAAUUCGUAGAUAUUCGGAGGAACACCAGUGGCGAAGGCGGCUCACUGGACCAUUACUGACGCUGAGGUGCGAAAGCGUGGGGAGCAAACAGGAUUAGAUACCCCUGUAGUCCCUGUCUCUUAUAC
rnacentral:rRNA from 1 species